rnacentral:tRNA from 3 species
GCGAUCGGGCGCAGCGCAUUCGAUGCGGUCGGCGGCCGCUUCGCGUGGCGGCCCGAUGCGCGGGCCGCGUCGCGCUGGGUCGAUGCGAUCGCGC